rnacentral:rRNA from 1 species
GUGGGGAAUAUUGGACAAUGGGCGAAAGCCUGAUCCAGCCAUGCCGCGUGUGUGAAGAAGGUCUUCGGAUUGUAAAGCACUUUAAGUUGGGAGGAAGGGCAGUAAGUUAAUACCUUGCUGUUUUGACGUUACCGACAGAAUAAGCACCGGCUAACUUCGUGCCAGCAGCCGCGGUAAUACGAAGGGUGCAAGCGUUAAUCGGAAUUACUGGUCGUAAAGCGCGCGUAGGUGGUUUUGUAAGUUGGAGGUGAAAUCCCCAGGCUCAACCUGGGAACUGCCUCCAAAACUGCAUGACUAGAGUACGGUAGAGGGUAGUGGAAUUUCCUGUGUAGCGGUGAAAUGCGUAGAUAUAGGAAGGAACACCAGUGGCGAAGGCGACUACCUGGACUGAUACUGACACUGAGGUGCGAAAGCGUGGGGAGCAAACAGGAUUAGAUACCCCAGUAGUCC